UACGGAGGGUGCGAGCGUUGUCCGGAAUCACUGGGCGUAAAGGGCGCGUAGGCGGCCUGAUAAGUAGGGGGUGAAAUCCUGCGGCUUAACCGCAGGGCUGCCUUCUAAACUGUCAGGCUCGAGCACAGUAGGGGCAGGUGGAAUUCCCGGUGUAGCGGUGGAAUGCGUAGAGAUCGGGAAGAACAUCAGUGGCGAAGGCGGCCUGCUGGGCUGUUGCUGACGCUGAGGCGCGACAGCGUGGGGAGCAAACAGG
rnacentral:rRNA from 1 species